CUACGGGGUGCAGCAGGCGCGAAAACUUUACAAUGCGGGAAACCGUGAUAAGGGGACACCGAGUGCCAGCAUCAUAUGCUGGCUGUCCGGGUGUGUAAAAUACACCUGUUAGCAAGGGCCGGGCAAGACCGGUGCCAGCCGCCGCGGUAACACCGGCGGCCCGAGUGGUGAUCGUGAUUAUUGGGUCUAAAGGGUCCGUAGCCGGUUUGGUCAGUCCUCCGGGAAAUCUGAUGGCUCAACCAUUAGGCUUUCGGGGGAUACUGCCAGGCUUGGAACCGGGAGAGGUAAGAGGUACUACAGGGGUAGGAGUGAAAUCUUGUAAUCCCUGUGGGACCACCUGUGGCGAAGGCGUCUUACCAGAACGGGUUCGACGGUGAGGGACGAAAGCUGGGGGCACGAACCGGAUUAGAUACCCGGGUAGUCCCAGCCGUAAACGAUGCUCGCUAGGUGUCAGGCAUGGCGCGACCGUGUCUGGUGCCGCAGGGAAGCCGUGAAGCGAGCCACCUGGGAAGUACGGCCGCAAGGCUGAAACUUAAAGGAAUUGGCGGGGGAGCACAACAACGGGUGGAGCCUGCGGUUUAAUUGGACUCAACGCCGGACAACUCACCGGGGACGACAGCAAAAUGUAGGCCAGGCUGAAGACCUUGCCUGAAUCGCUGAGAAGAANUG
rnacentral:rRNA from 1 species